AUCGGGAACUGUGCUGCCAGCUGAGGUUGGGAGCUAGGGGGCUGCCCCCCCGAUAAGCUCUCCCAGACAGGACAUCCCAUGUCUUGGUGGCUGAGCUCUCUCCAUCCAUCUAGUUGAGGGGUGGGUCUCGUCUCCCACAGGCCGCCUGCUCCCCCAUGCAGGUCAGGAGGCUGUGGUCCCCUGCUUAACUUGAACCUAAGCAUCCCCAGGCACCUGGGAAGGCUCCGGCUCAUUGCGACUGUCUGGAGAGGGCAGGAUCUCACCAUCAGCUUCGUCCCGGGGUCCCCCGGAGGACUGGACGCGCACGCCUCCCAACCCUGUGAGGAGAAGGAGCCAGGGUGCGGUAGGGAGGGGGGUGAGCCUCAGAUCUGGGCACCUCCCAGCUCUGCCCUGCUUACCUGCACCACCAAAGCCAGGGUGAUGGCGGGGGGGGGUUGCUCACUGGGACAGCCUUCCUGGAGGACAAUUUCUCAAUUCAUGUCCAAAUGUCAAAAGUGUAUCCCCUUUGACUCAGCAUUUCUACUUCUGGGAACUUCUGCGAAGGAAAUGUGCCAACCGGGUACAAAGAUGAUGGUUCAGGGGUGUUCAUCCCCGUGUAGGUUAUAAUACCUGGAAGUUGGCAGCAGCCUGAGCGUCUCUCGAUCCUGGUGGAAUCAUCAAGCAUCUGUGUGAUGAGAUUACUAGCCAUCUUUAAAAACGAUCUUGUGGCUCUCUGUCUGGGGACUGGGAAGGAACCUGCCAUCUGCAUUUGAAUUAAAAAGCUAAACGUGGCCAUGUUACCAAUGGGAGAUAAAAGAGAAAGAAAUGACAUAUUGCAAGUGGCAUGCACCUUCUUCAUCCCUUCUUCCAUCGUGCUGGCUGGAAUGUAGAGGUGAUGGCUGGAGCUCCAGCUGCCAUAGUGGACCAAAGAGUGUAUCGAGCGUCCGGAUGACCAGUGGGUCUGGGGCCAGAGCAGAGGGAAGAGCUAUGACCACUGGGCAUGCCGAGUCAACCUCACGGAUGGACAGUGCCUGCAGGAGCUCGGCUGGGCCCCCAGCAGAAGACUCCCUUGCAACAAGUCACGGCCAUGAAUAAGUUCUGGCCAAAAUAAUGUGAAGAAGCUUGUCCUCUCCUUCUCCUUUCCCAUCUGGGACCCGAGGAGGAAGCUACCUGCUGAGGACGGCUGAGCAGAGAAGACAGAUCCUGAGGUGUCUUGCCCAGAAAGUGAGCAUGCUGCAGGCUGCCAUGCACCGUGACUUGGCUGGCUCUGGGCUCUCUGUACCCUGCCCAGGACCUGGCCCACAGCAGAUGGCUGGCAUAGCCUGGGAGCCCCAGACGUGGACUUGAGGAAAGAGACCAACAUUUAUUAGGUGCUGAGAGGUACAGGGUGCUGGGCCAGGCACCUCUCUGUGUGGUCUGGAUUCAUUUUUUUCAUUUUAUCAUGUAUGAUCUUUUAAGUAUUCAUUGCUUUAUUUACACACAAGGGGUAGGACACUGGGCCAGGCACUUUCUAAAUGGCCUAUGUUCUUUGAUCUUUGACAACUUCACUGUGGUAUAACUCACAUACCCUACAAUGUACCCCUCUGAAGUGUGCAAUUCAGUGGUGUCUAGUAAAUUCAGAGCCGUGCAUCCAUCAUCACAGUCAAUGUUAGAACAUUUUCAUGGGGCGCCUGGAUGGCAGCGGUUAAGCGUCUGCCUUCGGCUCAGGGCGUG